UACGUCCCGGCUUGUACACACCGCCCGUCACACCACGAAAGUCGGCAAUACCCGAAGCCGGUGGCCUAACCCGUAAGGGAGGGAGCCGUCGAAGGUAGGGUCGAUGAUUGGGGUG
rnacentral:rRNA from 1 species